rnacentral:rRNA from 1 species
ACCUAGUCCCACCACACCCCCAAGGGUACUCAGCAGUGAUAAACAUUGUCUAUAAGCGCCAGCUUGACCCAGUUAUAAAGAAGAGGGCCGGCCAACUUGGUGCCAGCCGCCGCGGCUAGACCAACUGGACUCAAAUUGAUAAUUCCCGGCGUUAAGCGUGAUUAAAGCCACACACCAAUUAGAGUUAAACCUAUGUUGAGCAGUGAAAAGCACACGAUAGGGAAACCCAGAAACGAAAGUUACUCUAAUCUCUGCUUGAAUACACGACAGCUAGAAUACAAACUGGGAUUAGAUACCCCACUAUGUCUAGCCGUAAACUAUUAACCCACAUCAACCCCGCGCCAGGGAACUACGAGCCUUAGCUUAAAACCCAAAGGACUUGACGGUGUCCCACCCAACUAGAGGAGCCUGUUCUAUAAUCGAUAACCCCCGCUUCACCCAACCCCCCCUUGCUUUAUCAGCCUGUAUACCUCCGUCGUAAACCCGCCGUAUGAAUGUACUUAAGCGGAUUCAAUGGUCUCCCACCAACACGUCAGGUCAAGGUGCAGCCAAUGGAGGUGGUAAGUAAUGGGCUACAAUUUCUAAUCUAGAACAAACGAAGUACUGCAUGAAACACAGUCAUGAAGGAGGAUUUAGUAGUAAAAAGAAAGUAGCGUGUUCUUUUUAACACGGCCCUGGGACGUGUACACA